AUGUCGCUUUAAAAAGACCCGAAUUCAAACGAGCUAUCCACUUCCUGGUCGAAUCUGUUGCAUCCAGUAUGAGAAGGACCGAACCCGUGUUUGUGGCAAUAAACUGGGAUGAGAUGUGGAUAGGAGUGAAAGGCUUAUCAAGUUUGGGGUUAGCUGGUUCUCCACGAAAAGUGUGUUGGCACUAACAAUUGCUCAUUUUGUGUGGGUAGAGUUCCUUUAAUGUAAAAGAGGGGUUGUUUGCCCUGCCUUUUAUUUUAUUAGCUCCAAAUCACAUAAAACGCAAAAAUUGAAACAGAGAUUUGGUGCUAAGAUCAUUUCUCUAAAGGGUAACAGCCCUAAAUGCUCUUUAAGGUCCUUAAGCACGUAGCUAAAAUAAUUUGAUAUUCGACAUAGCUUUAAAGUAGGCUUGGAAUCAGCCACCUUUUAUGAACGCGUAAUAGUGCAAAAUCGUAAAUAUUAAAAAUUUUUAAUGUUUUGGGUUUUUUGGCGCCGAAAAGGCAUAUUAUCAACAAAAAAAUAAUGGUAGUGGAGUGUUCUGUAAAAAUACAUUUUUUAAGAUUGUAAACAAUUAAAUUGCAUAAUCAGAAGAAAAAAUACAGGAAUGAGUAACAUGUUUUUUUAUCGAAUUAAAAACGCCGUAAACGCUUGGUUUCCUUUUUUUUUGAUAAAAAGGGUUAAGCAAGUUCUAAAAAAAGCCCGAACGGGUGAGCUUGAUGAAGUUAAAAAAAGUUUGGUUUAGAAGUAGUAAUUAGUUUGUGCGGCUAGUCCGUUGGCUCGCGCUAUUUUCGGCUAAAACUCUUUUCUGGAAAUACCAACCUUUUUUAUGAUUGUACUAAAACCAACACCGGUUUGUUUGUUUUCUUAAAUGAAGGCGUUUGGGUUAAUUUUUGUAAAGGAAUUCGGCAAAUUUACUCUGUACUUUCGAAAUAAGGAGGUUUGUGCAAAUGUUUUGCAUAAAAUUGUAAAAAGAGAAGAGCGACUGUUUAUCAACAACACAGGACUUUGCAAAGGAGAAAUCUUUAGUAUAAAGUUCGAAACCUGCCCAUUACUUGUAACAAAAAAUACAAAGUUUUUUGCUUUUUUUUAAUGUCUCGUAAAUGGCGGCGAUAACCCUGAUCGUCCUAAGGUAGCGAAAUUCCUUGUCGGCUAAUUACCGACCCGCAUGAAUGGUGUAACGACUCUUCUGCUGUCUUUACAAAACACCCAGUGAAAUUGAAAUUUUUGUGAAGAUGCAAAAAUUUUUUAGAAAGACGGGAAGACCCUUUGAACCUUUACAACAAAUAUUCCUUGAAAAAAACAAUUAGUCUGUUUAGAAUAGGCAGAGGUUUAAUAUCAAUAAUGAAAUACUGCCCUACUAAUCUUGUUUUUUUCUAAUCUUUUUAGGGAGACAUGGCAUGUUUGGUUGUUUUGCUGGGGCGGUAUCCUCUCAAAAAGUAUCGGAGGUGUUUAUAAAGUAAAAAAGAAAAAAAAAGAACUUUUUUUUAAGUACAAGGAUUAUCUUUUUGCUUGAUGAUAAAAACGGUAGUUUAAGUCAGGACGAAAGUCUAACCUAUUGAUCCAACGUUAUUUAGAGGAAAAGUCGUUGCUAUCAGAUUACAAGGUACUCUAGGGAUAACAGGCUAAUUCUACCAAAAAGUUCUUAUUAACGGUAGUGCUUGGCACCUCGAUGUCGACUCAUCUCGUCCUGGAGCUGCAGGCGGUUCCAAGGGUUUGGUUGUUCGCCAAAAAAAGAGGUACGUGAGUUGGGUUCAGAACGUCGUAAGACAGUUUGGCUCCUAUCUCCUAAAAAUGUAAGGUAACUAACUUAGAGUUGAAGUAAUAGAUCUUGUGUACGAAAGGAUCAAGGUGUAAUGACCGCUGGUAAAUCCGUUGUUUUAUAAACACGCGUUGAAUUGCUAAGUCGUAUACAGCUAACAAUUGAAAACAACAAUAUUGGAAGCUUUUACUAAAAAAAACUC
rnacentral:rRNA from 1 species